rnacentral:rRNA from 1 species
UCGAGCGCGGGAAGCGAGCUGAAGCCCUUCGGGGUGGACGCUCGUGGAACGAGCGGCGGACGGGUGAGUAACACGUGGGCAACCUACCUGUAAGACCGGAAUAACCCCGGGAAACCGGGGCUAAUGCCGGGUAACCGUUCGGUUCUCCUGAACCGAACGUAAAAGGAUGGCUUCUUGCUAUCGCUUACAGAUGGGCCCGCGGCGCAUUAGCUAGUUGGUAAGGUAACGGCUUACCAAGGCGACGAUGCGUAGCCGACCUGAGAGGGUGAUCGGCCACACUGGGACUGAGACACGGCCCAGACUCCUACGGGAGGCAGCAGUAGGGAAUCUUCCGCAAUGGACGAAAGUCUGACGGAGCAACGCCGCGUGAACGAUGAAGGCUUUCGGGUCGUAAAGUUCUGUUGUGAGGGAAGAACAAGGAUCGUGCGAAUAGAACGGUCCCUUGACGGUACCUCACGAGGAAGCCCCGGCUAACUACGUGCCAGCAGCCGCGGUAAUACGUAGGGGGCAAGCGUUGUCCGGAAUUAUUGGGCGUAAAGCGCACGCAGGCGGUUCCUUAAGUCUGAUGUGAAAGCCCGUGGCUCAACCACGGAGGGCCAUUGGAAACUGGGGAACUUGAGAACUGAAGAGGAGAGUGGAAUUCCACGUGUAGCGGUGAAAUGCGUAGAUAUGUGGAGGAACACCAGUGGCGAAGGCGACUCUCUGGUCGGUUUCUGACGCUGAGGUGCGAAAGCGUGGGUAGCAAACAGGAUUAGAUACCCUGGUAGUCCACGCCGUAAACGAUGAGUGCUAGGUGUUAGGGGGCUUCCACCCCUUAGUGCUGAAGUUAACGCAUUAAGCACUCCGCCUGGGGAGUACGGCCGCAAGGCUGAAACUCAAAGGAAUUGACGGGGGCCCGCACAANCGGUGGAGCAUGUGGUUUAAUUCGAAGCAACGCGAAGAACCUUACCAGGUCUUGACAUCCUUGGCUACUUCUAGAGAUAGAAGGUUCCCUUCGGGGACCAAGUGACAGGUGGUGCAUGGU